GCCCGCUUAGCUCAGUGGUAGAGCGCGCCACUCGUAUGAAUCCGCCAGGUUAGAGGUGGAAUGGUGAGGUCGGUUGUUCAAUCCAGCCAGUGGGCA